rnacentral:rRNA from 1 species
AUUGAACGCUGGCGGCAGGCCUAACACAUGCAAGUCGAGCGAGCGGCGGACGGGUGAGUAAUGUCUGGGAAACUGCCUGAUGGAGGGGGAUAACUACUGGAAACGGUAGCUAAUACCGCAUACCAUCAGAUGUGCCCAGAUGGGAUUAGCUAGUAGGUGGGGUAACGGCUCACCUAGGCGACGAUCCCUAGCUGGUCUGCGAGGAUGACCAGCCAAACGGGAACGGAGACACGGUCCAGACUCCUACGGGAGGCAGAAGUGGGGAUUAUUGCACAAUGGGCGCAGGCCUGAUGCAGCAAUGCCGGGGGUGGGAAGAAGGCCUUCGGGUUGUAAAGCAUGUUCAGCGGGGAGGCGUUACCCGCAGAAGAAGCACCGGCUAACUCCGUGCCAGCAGCCGCGGUAAUUC